CCAGCAACUACUACGCAUGCGGGGAAUUCGUUCGUCAGCUGGGAGGAACGUGACAGGGUUUGAAAGCUUAAUUGCACCGUGCAGCAGGCCAGAGGAGGAGGAGGAGCAGUGGGAACAACAGCAGCGGCAGUGGAGCUUGAAGGCGAGACUUGGAUACGGAGCAAUGGAUUCAAAUUACAGGAACAAAAUCCAUCUAAAGGUUAAGAAGAACAUCUUGAUGGUAAGAGCUAGUUGACAGUGCCUCAGAGUGUGGAGGGGUCUCUUUUUCAGGAGGUUUUUAGGCAGAGGCUGGUGUUACUGUUGGAAAGAAGGGAAGAAUAACAUAUGCAUAUUUGGACCAAUGUAUGAAUCGCUCCAUGCAGUCAUGCCGGCCACAUGACCUUGGAGGUGUCUACGGACAACGCCGGCUCUUCGGCUUAGAGAUGGAGAUGAGCACCAACCCCAAGAGUCGGUCACGACUGGACUUAACGUCAGGGGAAAACCUUUACCUUUACCUAUGAAUCACAAAGAUUACACAUGUCAAAUGGAGCACCAUCACAACCACAGGAAAGUGCUUUUUAUGAUGUCCAAAUAUGGACAGUAAAAUUUAAAUCAGUCUGCUUGCAUCUCAUUGCAAUUGUUUAUUUGAUGUAUGAUUUUAAAAGAAAAGAAAGAAACCUUAUUUGUUUGGUUCUGCUCAGGAAAGAAAACUACCAGAGUCAAGCAUAUACUCUUCAUUGAAAAAUACUUUACUUCUUUCAAGUUACAUUAUGCCUUAUAAUUAGAGGUAUAAUAUUCUUAUAGGAAUACAGAUAGCAGAUGGUCACACUGCAUAACAACAGCCACAGAGAAUGAAGCUCUCAACAUUAGUGGUACACCGACCUAAAGAGACAACAAUUAAACAUUGUGUGAUAGCAACCACUGCAAAGAUAUGAUUUAGCAGAUUAACUCUUCUAAACUAUUACCCAAACAUGUUUCAGAUGUAUAUGCAUGAGAAUUCAUGCCCAAGAUGUUCCUCAGUGAACCUUCAUUGAAUUGGAGCAGGCACCAGAUCUACAGAUAUCAUCAAAGUGCUCAAAGUACUUAUUUGAUUUCUAUCCCACCUUUCUCCUUAUGUAGGAACCACAGUAUUCACUAUUUAAAAGCCAAUUAGGGAAACAGAGAAUAGACUUUAGGUUAUGGCCUCUACAGGGUGUUGGAAGGACACAGACAAGUGAUAUGACAGGUGAUAGCAGUGAAUCCAGCUCUUGGGUGCAAUGACUUAUGUUCUGCAUAUGACUUUAGACUUCACUGGGAAAGAAGUAAAAAAAAAAUAAACACCCCAAAAACAACAACGAUGUAAUUAAAUCCAUGAGAAUGAUCAGAAUAGACCAGUCAAAAGCAUUUACAGGUAGGUAAACACAGACAAUGAAAGAAGUAGAUUUGUGACAGGUCUGCUACAGGCAACCAAGCCAAGAAGAGGGCAGAAAAUGCUUUUAAAAAAUAAAUCUCAAAAAAAUACAAGAAUUAAUAGGUACGGAGGAAUUCAAUUACCCUGACAUCUAUUGGGAAACUAAUUCUGAUAGGCAUAGACUGUCCAGAUUUUUGUGUUGUGCCUUUGAGACUAUUUUAUUUUUUAAAAGGCAGAGGAACGAACAAGGGGAAUGACAAUCUUAAAGCAAAUAUAAUUGACAUCACUGAACUUGAUAGGAGGUGUCAUGAUUGGAAUGUAGGGUGGUAUAACCUAUUUCUUAUGAGGAGUAACAUUGUAUGUGAAGGAUAUUUAUACUUGUGGGGGAUCCUAGAAGCCAGGUUGAGAGUUUCUGGGUAAAAAGGGGGAGAUAAGUAACGGGGACAUUAUUGUGGGAGAUCUGCUAGAGAUCUCCAAGUCAGACUGAGGACUUGGAUGAUGCCAUACAUUCAGAAAGGAGGGAUGUAGUGGUGAUGGGGAUUUCAACAAUCCUGAUAUCUGCCAAGAACACAGGCAGUCCCCAGGUUACAAACAAGACAGGUUCUGUAGGUUUGUUCUUGAGUUAAAUUUGGACAAAAGAAUCAUAGAUCUGGAAGAGACUAUGAGGGGCAUCUGUUCCAAACCCCUGCCAUGCAGGAAAAGUACAAUCAAAGCACCCUCAACAGAUGGCCAUCCAGCCUCUAUUUAAAAGCCACCAAAGGAGGAAGCUCCAUCACAGUUCAAGGCAGUGAGUUCAACUGUUGAACGUCUUUUAUGGUCAGCAAGUUCUUCCUAAUGUUCAAGUGAAAUCUCCUUUCCUGUAAUUUGAACCCACUGCUCUGAGUCCUAGUCUCCAGGGCACUAGGACUCCGAGCAAUGGGUUCAAAGUUGGAACAGGUACAUUUUUAAGUGUAACUCCAGCCAAUUUUAUUUAAAGUUUUGGCUAACAGAGGUAAAGGUUAACACCCAUGCCCUGUUUGUUUUGCUGCUGGUACCCCUGUUCAGAAGAUUUCACCUCACUUUCUGUCCCUGUGACAAUUGGAUUUUGAAAAAUGUGGGUUGUGACUUGAAAAUUAUGCUGUUUAUAUGUGCAUGUAUAUUAGCAUCUGUAUCUGCUUUCGGUAAACAAAGAUGGGGAAAUUCCUAACUUUUGAUAUAAAAGUAUAGUUAAAGUCCAGGCCAGACUACAAGUCAUGAAAUAGCAGGGAGGAUAGUAAGCAUUGGGAUUUGCAGCAUGUACUAGAUGUUCAUAUUAGAUUGUAGCUGAACAGUCUUGGGCAACUGAGAUCCCGCGAGCUCCGUCUUGGACAGGAUGGGGUAGACAGCAUUGCUACUAGCACUCAAAGAAUUCAUAGUGAUGUUCUUCUCCUGUAAAAACGCCUCCAAUCCAUCUUCUUUCUUGUUGAUCUUUGCAGUUUUCUGAGGGAUCAGACUUUUUUCGUUGAGAUGUUCAACCUGUAGGGAAGGAUAGGGAAUGGUAGAGAGAUUCAGAACCUUAAAAAAGAAAGUGAUGUUCUCCUGAUGUUCUAAAACCAGAUUCAUAGUGAUGUAUGGGAAACAUGAAACCUCCCACUUGUUACUAUCCAAGGAUAUCUCUUCAGGUUGUUCCACAUUUGCAGAUUGUAGGGGCUGAAGCCUACACACAUUUUGAUGCUUCAAAUGUUAGUCUGGUUUUGGGGUCUAUUUGACCGGCUGAUUCCAAAAAUGGUACCUGUUUCACUCCAUCAGCUUUAAUUUUUGAGAUACUGAUCACAUGCUAUCAACCAGUCACCAUCUGCUUGCCCAUAGAAAUCAUGAUAGCCAUACCAUGAUAUUGCAGUGCAAUUUUCUGAAUCAGCGCCCCAAAUACCCCCAAAAACCUGCCAGAAAACCAAAACACCAAAACUUUUGGUUGGGCUGUGUAAUCAUCGAUGAAUACAAGACAUGUAUGAGCAGUGUGUCUUGUUUUAAUGGAGAAUUGUUCUUGGUUGGAAGUUGAAUGGAGAUGUUUCUCCGCACAUCUGAUGCACCACUAUGUCUAAAAGUGGAAGAUACAGAAUACAUGGUGAACUUCCAAAAGCAUCUGGAUCUGGCAUUUGAUGGUGAUUGUGUACUGGUGGAUUAGUCCACCUGGCUGAGUGGUUCUUUUCCCCAUUAUAUUUCAUUUCAAUUUCUUUUCACUUCCCUCUAGGCUACAAGCAUUUCUAGAUUUCAAGUAUUUUUCAUCAAAGGAAGUGCCAAUUUUCCCUGGAACAAGGCUCUGAAAGUUUAAGAACCAAGGCUUCCGUUUUUGAUAUGAGGCCACCAAUGGAAUGCUCCAAGUGCAGUACCCGCUGUAAAAGUCUGUGGAAGAAUGAAAGAAGAAUCUUAGAAAGCUUCCUUCAUUUUAUAACAUUUGCUACUUGGUAAAGAAAUUUCAUGGAUCAACUAGUCUGUUUCCAUAUACAGUAGGGUCUCACUUAUCCAAGCCUCGCUUAUCCAAGCCUCUGGAUUAUCCAAGCCAUUUUGUAGUCAAUGUUUUCAAUAUAUCAUGAUAUUUUGGUGCUAAAUUCAUAAAUACAGUAAUUACAACAUAACAUAAUUGCGUAUUGAACUACUUGUUUUGGUGCUUAAUUUGUAAAAUCAUAACCUAAUUUGAUGUUUAAUAGGCUUUUCCUUAACCCCUCCUUAUUAUCCAAGAUAUUCGCUUAUCCAAGCUUCUCCUGGGCCGUUUAGCUUGGAUAAGUGAGACUCUACUGUACCUCUCAUGUGGCUCUGGUAAAAGCAGUGGUCUACAUCAGGGCUUCCUAAACUUUUUCGACUUGUGAUCCCAUUUUGGUGAGCCCAGAUACCUCGUAUAUAGGUAUAUAAAAUAAGUAUACAAAUCAAAUAUUUACUGAUAAUAAAUUAUCAAAGAAUUUAUUUUAAAACAAUUCCUUGGUAUACAUAUUUUGCCACUGAUGAAAGAUGACAGCAAAUUUGCCUAGAAAUGAGAUGGAUAUGCUUGUUUAUUUUUACAUAAGGAAUUACAUCUUGGUGGACUAUUUGAUACUGCAGGACGUAGAAAAUUUUCAAUGUUUUUAGAGCUGAUCAAUAUUUUACUUUCAUAAUUGUCAAUACUGAGAACACUGUUUCACAAAAUGGUAGAAAUCAGUUUAGGACCAUUUAGGGCCAUUUAGGGGCGGGGCUUUGCACAGAGGGCUAAAUCUCUAGCUGCAGAAAAAUCCUGCCGAUCGAAAGGUUGGCAGUCUGAGCCCGGGUUGGGGUGAGCACCUGUCAUUAGUCCCAGCUCCCUGCUCACCUAGCAGAUCAAAAGCAGAAAUGUGAGUAGAUAAAUAGGUACUGCUUUUAGCAGUGAGGUAAUAAAAGCACCCUUAAAGACAUCGUCUUUGACUGAGAAGACGUCUAAGGAUGACAAAACUCCUCGGCAUGGACGAUGGGACAACAGCACUCCCUUGUGGUUGGAAUUGAGCACAGCCUCCAAGAUGCCAGAAAUAAGAUGGGAAAUGUCUGUGUAUGGUCUGUCCUUGUUAAUUGUAUAACGGCAUUGAAAGCUUGACGUAUUUGUUUUCUGUAAUUCGCCCUGAGUCCCCAUGGGGUGAUAGAGCGGAAUAUAAAUAAAAUAUAUUAUUAUUAUUAUUAUUUCAGAAAUGGGAGGAAAUUCUGUCUUAAUCCCAAACCAAAAUUCAUUUAAUAAUUUUUAGGAAGCUCAAUGCUGUGGAAUCAUGGGAGUUUUACAAGGUAUUUAGCAUACUUUGCCAAAGUUUGUGAUGCCUUACCAAAUUACAAAUUCCAGAAUUUGACAGCAUUGAGCCAUAGCAGUUGAAGAGGGAUCUAUCUUCAUCAAUUCUACAAUAUGUAUGCACCCACAUUCUAGGAAAGCUUCUGCUAACAACUUCUUUCUCAAAAGUGCUACAAGAUCACUUUGCAUACUUAUUGACGAGUUAAUAUUUUAUUUGAAUAGUUAACAUUCCUAUUGUCCUUCACUAUUUAGGAAGAGACUGAUCCAAAGCAGCUGCUCCAAAAUAACCUACAGUCCAUGCUGCAGUCAAAGGAAUUGUCUACACCAGCAAAACAAUCCAAUUGCAAUUUCGAACAUUCUGCCUUGAAGCUGUCCCGCACUGAUAUUGAACUGAUGACCACAGUAUUGAUCAUCAAAUUGAGACCUGGGCCCCCUUUCUCACCUUCUCCUCUGUGGAAGCACUGCAGGUUUUGUCAUUUUUUAAAACUUAUACAUCAGUGAAAGAUCUUCCAUAUUUUGCAGGAUAUACAUUUUAUGAAAUAAACAUAUUUAUUUAUAUCUAUAGUUUGAUACUAUAUAAUGGCACUCCAUGCAGUCAUGCCGGCCACAUGACCUUGGAGGUAUCUAUGGACAAUGCCGGCUCUUCAGCUUAGAAGUGGAGAUGAGCACCAGAGUCAGACAUGACUGGACUUAACAUCAGGGGAAACCUUUACCUUUUUAUAGUUUGAUACAUUUUAGUGACAUAAAAUAAAAUUAUAUACCUUUGGAAUUCUUCUUCAGAUGCCGAGCUAGACUUAUUUGCUUGAUUGUUCUUUGCGUCUGCAAAGGCAAGGGGGUCGUUGAAGCCAUUGUCCCCAAAGGAUUUCCCCAGGUUCUCUAUUUCUUCAUUCAGAGCAACCUGGAAAAUAAAGCCCAGUCAAUGAUUUUUUCCUGUUGGGACAUUUUUUAUACAGAUCACACGCACAGGUUAGUAUGCCCCAGUUCUUAGUGAAUGCUUCUUCACCGAAUUAUUGCAGGGAGAAAUUACCUUUUGCUUUUCACUGAACAGUUAUCCCUUUACAUUUGUAGUUUUGCCUUUUGCGGUUUUGAUAAUUCAUGGAAUUGAUUAAAAAGUUAUGUCUAGGAUUUUC